rnacentral:snRNA from 1 species
GGAUGUGAGGGCGAUCUGGCUGCGACAUCUGUCACCCCCAUUGAUCGUUAGGGUUGAUUCGGCAGAUCUGGCUGCCUAGACUGGUGUCCCCUUCGUCCCUCAACGUUCCAUGUGUGUGUCCCUACCGAAGCUGCAUGCUCAGUCGAAGAGGACGACUACCCCCGAUAGAGGAGAACCGUUCCUCGGUCAAGGAUAUACGAGUAGCUGCACUCCCCUGCUAGAAUCUCCAAACAAGAAGUCUCACUUAAUCUAGCUAUUCCCUUUCUGGGUAUUUUGCCAGAAGAAUUAAAAACAUCAUACCACAGUGAUAUAUGUGUGCCCAUGU